UAAACGACUCUCGGCAACGGAUAUCUCGGCUCUCGCAUCGAUGAAGAACGUAGCGAAAUGCGAUACUUGGUGUGAAUUGCAGAAUCCCGUGAACCAUCGAGUUUUUGAACGCAAGUUGCGCCCUAAGCCACUAGGCCGAGGGCACGUCUGCCUGGGCGUCACACGUCGUUGCCCCUCCCAACCCCUUCGGGAGUUGGCUGGGACGGAUGAUGGCCUCCCGUGCGCUCCGUCGCGCGGUUGGCAUAAAUAACAA
rnacentral:rRNA from 1 species